UGGAAACAUAAGCCUUCGUGUCAUCUGUGUAUUAAUCUACUAUAGUACACGUGCUGCUGGGCUACCUGAAAUAUAUGGAAAGAAACAACACAAACAUCCUCACAGAGGUGACAACAACAACAACCAAAAAAAAAGAAAUAAUUCCUUCAAGGGGGCAGGGGCAAGGAAGGAAGACUCAGCUAUUCUGUCAGGUAUACUUGAGAGAAAUGCUUUAGUACUCUGAGCAGUACCGACAGCAUGAUCCUGGCUGAACAGAAGAUGAAUCAAUGGGGGGAAAAGGCAAGGUGGAAGAAAUAAGUGUAAGUGCUUGGAGUGGUACACAGAGAGGAUUGGAGAUGUCUGGGCAGUGUUGGUGUUCUCAGACUGAUCUGCAGGAAUUGCUGACCACACUGGGAAUGUUUGUGCCAGAGGAGCAGCUGUGCAAGAGCUUUAGGCUUGAUUUCAUGCUUACCUGCAGAGGUAUGUGACUGUCCAAGGGGGAAAUUUUCUGGCUGACACACUGCAGCUGAGUGAUUCAGCAGGGUAGGGGCUGAGCAGGUUCGCACUGCCCUGCAUGCCUGGCCUGGCAGUGGUGUGGGUGUGGGUAACUGGCAAGGACAAGCUCUGUGCUACGUACAAAAGUGGUGCUGCUUGUCCCUGUGUAGGAAGGGGAUGGCCAGUUUUCUGGAGCCUGAAACUUCAGCUCUGAUGUGUAAAGCCCAUCUCCUUCUGCUGGCUCAGAUGUCAGUAGCUACGUGUUGUCCGCAUUGCUAACUAUUGCAGUUGCUCACUAUUAACUUGUCAAAGGAGAUAAGAGGAUCUCGUUACAAAGAGCUGCACUAUCCAUUACAAAUGCUGCUCUUUCAGAUGAGAUUCAUUUUACAUUGGAAUUUUACACCACUAAGCAGACUGGAUGGAGGCACAACUAGUUUAAUUGUCCCGAAAGCCAAAUCAAUUUGCCAGAGGAAUGAGGAGCUUUAAUAAAGUUGGUGUUAAGCUACUCUGGCUGUGCAUCUUUGCUCCACACUGGUCCUCCAGGCACUGGCACAGGGAUGCUCUC